rnacentral:rRNA from 1 species
GAUGAACGCUGGCGGCGUGCCUAAUACAUGCAAGUCGAGCGAACAGGCGAGGAGCUUGCUCCUCUGACGUUAGCGGCGGACGGGUGAGUAACACGUGGAUAACCUACCUAUAAGACUGGGAUAACUUCGGGAAACCGGAGCUAAUACCGGAUAAUAUAUUGAACCGCAUGGUUCAAUAGUGAAAGACGGUUUUGCUGUCACUUAUAGAUGGAUCCGCGCCGCAUUAGCUAGUUGGUAAGGUAACGGCUUACCAAGGCAACGAUGCGUAGCCGACCUGAGAGGGUGAUCGGCCACACUGGAACUGAGACACGGUCCAGACUCCUACGGGAGGCAGCAGUAGGGAAUCUUCCGCAAUGGGCGAAAGCCUGACGGAGCAACGCCGCGUGAGUGAUGAAGGUCUUCGGAUCGUAAAACUCUGUUAUUAGGGAAGAACAAAUGUGUAAGUAACUAUGCACGUCUUGACGGUACCUAAUCAGAAAGCCACGGCUAGCUACGUG